GAUGAACGCUAGCGAUAGGCUUAACACAUGCAAGUCGAGGGGCAGCAUGGUCUUAGCUUGCUAAGGCUGAUGGCGACCGGCGCACGGGUGCGUAACGCGUAUGCAACUUGCCUCACAGAGGGGGAUAACCCGUCGAAAGACGGACUAAUACCGCGUACACUCUAUGUUGGGCAUCCAAUGUAGAGGAAAUGAAAUUCGCUGUGAGAUAGGCAUGCGUCCCAUUAGCUAGUUGGUGAGGUAACGGCUCACCAAGGCGACGAUGGGUAGGGGAACUGAGAGGUUGAACCCCCACACUGGUACUGAGACACGGACCAGACUCCUACGGGAGGCAGCAGUGAGGAAUAUUGGUCAAUGGGCGAGAGCCUGAACCAGCCAAGUCGCGUGAAGGAUGACUGUCUUAUGGAUUGUAAACUUCUUCUAUACGGGAAUAACAAGAGUCACGUGUGGCUCCCUGCAUGUACCGUAUGAAUAAGCAUCGGCUAACUCCGUG
rnacentral:rRNA from 1 species